rnacentral:pre_miRNA from 1 species
AUUAAUUCAGAAAAUGAACAUGUGUCAACUCCUCAGUCCUCACCUCUCUUGUGGAGUCCAAAAUUUACACUGUUAGUGUAUCAAAUAAUCAUUCAAUAAUUAUAUGGGUAUUUGAUACACUGGCGGUGUAAAUUUUGGACACCACAAGUGGGUUGUGGAGUUGACACAUGUCCAUUUUCUGAAUUAAU